rnacentral:rRNA from 1 species
GUCGAGCGAAUGGAUUAAGAGCUUGCUCUUAUGAAGUUAGCGGCGGACGGGUGAGUAACACGUGGGUAACCUGCCCAUAAGACUGGGAUAACUCCGGGAAACCGGGGCUAAUACCGGAUAAUAUUUUGAACUGCAUGGUUCGAAAUUGAAAGGCGGCUUCGGCUGUCACUUAUGGAUGGACCCGCGUCGCAUUAGCUAGUUGGUGAGGUAACGGCUCACCAAGGCAACGAUGCGUAGCCGACCUGAGAGGGUGAUCGGCCACACUGGGACUGAGACACGGCCCAGACUCCUACGGGAGGCAGCAGUAGGGAAUCUUCCGCAAUGGACGAAAGUCUGACGGAGCAACGCCGCGUGAGUGAUGAAGGCUUUCGGGUCGUAAAACUCUGUUGUUAGGGAAGAACAAGUGCUAGUUGAAUAAGCUGGCACCUUGACGGUACCUAACCAGAAAGCCACGGCUAACUACGUGCCAGCAGCCGCGGUAAUACGUAGGUGGCAAGCGUUAUCCGGAAUUAUUGGGCGUAAAGCGCGCGCAGGUGGUUUCUUAAGUCUGAUGUGAAAGCCCACGGCUCAACCGUGGAGGGUCAUUGGAAACUGGGAGACUUGAGUGCAGAAGAGGAAAGUGGAAUUCCAUGUGUAGCGGUGAAAUGCGUAGAGAUAUGGAGGAACACCAGUGGCGAAGGCGACUUUCUGGUCUGUAACUGACACUGAGGCGCGAAAGCGUGGGGAGCAAAAGGAUUAAAUACCCUGGUAGUCCACGCCGUAAACGAUGAGUGCUAAGUGUUAGAGGGUUUCCGCCCUUUAGUGCUGAAGUUAACGCAUUAA